rnacentral:rRNA from 1 species
CCUACGGGCGGCAGCAGUGGGGAAUAUUGCACAAUGGGGGAAACCCUGAUGCAGCAACGCCGCGUGAGUGAAGAAGUAAUUCGUUAUGUAAAGCUCUAUCAGCAGGGAAGAAAAUGACGGUACCUGAGUAAGAAGCCCCGGCUAACUACGUGCCAGCAGCCGCGGUAAUACGUAGGGGGCAAGCGUUAUCCGGAUUUACUGGGUGGAAAGGGAGCGUAGACGGCAGUGCAAGUCUGGAGUGAAAGGCGGGGGCUCAACCCCCGGACUGCUCUGGAAACUGUACGGCUGGAGUGCAGGAGAGGUAAGUGGAAUUCCUAGUGUAGCGGUGAAAUGCGUAGAUAUUAGGAGGAACACCAGUGGCGAAGGCGGCUUACUGGACAGUAACUGACGUCGAGGCUCGAAAGCGUGGGGAGCAAACAGGAUUAGAUACCCCAGUAGUC